rnacentral:tRNA from 1 species
CGGGCUGUAGCGCAGCUUGGUUUAGCGCACAUGUCUGGGGGACAUGCGGUCGGCCGUUCAAAUCGGCUCAGCCCGA